UGUAAGUAGAGUUGAUAUAAAGCGAAACUGCGAACGGCUCAUUACAACAGAUAUAAUUUACUUGUUAUAUUCCUUAUAAACGGAUAACUGCGGUAAUUCUGGAGCCAAUACGUGCACAAAGUCGCAUUCAGCAAUGAGUGUGAUGCAUUUAUCGGAGCAAAACCUUUCCUGGUUCUAUGCUAACUCUGGAUAACACUGCCUAUCGCAUGACCUAGUGUCGGCGAAGUUACAUUCAAGUAUCUGCCUUAUCAACUUUCGAUGGUAGUGUAUUGGACUCCCAUGGUGUUGACGGGUAACGGAGAAUCAGGGUUCGACUCCGGAGAGGGAGCCUUAGAAACGGCUACCAUAACUAAGGUUAGCAGCAGGCGCGCAACUUAUCCCCUGUUCAUUGAACGAGAUAGUGACGAGAAAUAACAAGUCCGUUCUCUAUGAGGUCGGACAUUGGAAUGGA
rnacentral:rRNA from 1 species